AUGUUUCUCUUUCUUUGUAAUGUUAGCUAUGAGCAAUUCGUGCUAAUGCUACUUUGCUGUAAGUUAAUGUAAGGUAAAGGUAUUACACUCCAUAACUGUAAGGUUAACCUUUAAUUUUAAACGUAUUUUAAAGGCAGGCAAAUAGAUUUUUUCCCUCCAAUUUUAAUCGAGCAAAUUAAGAGCUGCUAUGUUAGUGAAAUUUAUCCUUAUUUAGAAACUUGGCUGAUGUGACAUAGUGCUUGUGUUCGUGGCUUUGUCGACUUUAUCCACAUGAAGACCCAUUUUAUCCUAAGGACACAUGAUAGUUGGGGGCUGGGUGCGACAGAGGUUGCUAAUGCUCUUCAUUAUCGAGGACCAGGCACCAGAGGAAGAAGUCUCUGUUUGACCAAAGAGAAAGAAGCAGAUGAAAUAUUCCCCAAUAAAAUUAUUUAAGUCAUUUUUGUGUUACUAUUUUCUCCAGGUGAAGGAGGAUGAAAGGGAAAGUGACCACAGUGGAUUGAGUCAUCACCCACUAUGAGAAUGUCCAGAAGAGAUUGACCAAGUUUGAAUUCAUGAAGAGGCUUUCACCAUGAUUAACAUUGACCACAACCAUUGCAAGAACAGCUAUAAUUUCUGAGCAUUUCCGGACACUUUCAAAGAACUGUUUCCAGGAAAGAAGAUCUCCCUGUUUUCAGAGCAUUACAGGAAGGCUAUAACAAAGGAGAUGGCUGAUGCAAUCAAAGCAAAAAAAAAGAUGUUAGGACUGUUGAAAGAACCCUUUUUCAUAAGUUAAAGAAUAAGUAAUUCUGUUUUAGUUUUUUAAUCAGUAUUUCAGAAUUACAAUAUGCUGACCAGAAGUUGAACCCUUCUGCACAAGAAGUGCAAGUAAUCCUUUGUUUUAUUCCAUUGUACAAAGGGUUUGUUCUAUAGCUAUGAUGGUAGUUAUAAAUAGUCCACUGUAUUCCACUUUACUUGUGAUAAAACUCUGUUAGUAUAGCAUUUGACACUGUAAUAACACUUAAUGUUACUACAUUAAGUGUAGGAACACUUAAUGUAGUAUUAAUUACUAUACUACAUUGGUGUAGUAACACUUAUGUUACCCCAUUAAGUGUUAUGACAUCUUCAUAAGUCUUGCUAUUUGUUUCACGUUACUUGAGGAAAGAGGAAUUAUUAAUGACUUUGUUAUUAAGUCAUUUGACAGUGUAAUAAAACUUAAUGACAUCUUUCUUAUUGAUCCUACUUGUUCCACUUUAUUUCAGGUGAGGUAAAUAUUAAUGACUGUGUUGUUAAAGCUUUUGACAGUGUAAUAACACUUAAUGACAUCUGUAACUACUCCAAUGUUUAAGGGAAUAUAUUAAUCACGCAAUUAUAAUGACCUUAUAACUGUCACAGUUAAGAC